AUGGCUGAGUAGUAAAGCUCUUGGCUUCCGAACCGAGGGAACCCAGGUUCGAUUCCUGGU
rnacentral:tRNA from 1 species